GCACACACACGGUGUGUUUGUGAGCUGUGCAGAGUGGGGUCUCCCUGGCAAUGGCCACAGCCUCCAGGGGCGCUGACACCUCCCGUCUAACUGGUAGACAGUUUCUGCCUCUUCUUGUUUGGGGAUUGGAGAGGGAAGUGCGUCUGGAUGACUACUAAGAUGAGGAGGCUGAGGCCUAGUGCUCCUAGCGGGCUUGGUCAAGAGCAGGAGGCGGAGGUGGUGGAAGGCUGUUUCCCUGCGCCUUUUCCUGGGAACACGUAUCUUCAGAGGACAUCAACACCAGCCUCUCCUGCCAUGUCUUACGUCAAACUCAAUCCCUUCUGAGGGCCUCAGCUGAUGUCACAUCCAUAUAAGAAAUUGGGACACACCUUGGAAGUUUCAGUUUUGGUAUCCUGUGGUAAAAGUUGGUAUCUAGACAGGAUUAGCCAUCACAUCCCCAAGAAUGAGCUAUGGCUAGAUUUCUUCAGCUGAAGAUGAAAGACAUCUGCCUGCGAGUCAGCUCUAGAGGAGAAUACACUGCAUCGAACACAGAACAAAAAGACUCACUACAACGCUGCAGCCACAAUAGUGUGUGAUUUCAAGUCUUAAAAACCAGAAUCACUUUCUUCUCUGGACUGGAAGCAUAUUUAUUUUGGCCGAAUAACAGAGUACACCAGUCAUCAUAAGAAGAAAAAUUCACAUUUAAAGUUUGGAAAGCAACAGGACAAAGGUCUGUCUUCAGUGGUGCGUAGACAUGCUCGUGAUUGAAUUGGAAAUAGUUCUCUUUCCUUCUCUCUGACUUCCUAACUGAAAAGCUGCAGCGUGGGGAGAAAGGCUGCUCAGAAGCCUGGAGCCAGAACACGCACCCCGGCUUUUGCAGGGCCGGCUCACUUGGUUAGAAUCAAAGGAAAAGCCUUGUUAUUUGGGAAGCUGGGCGUCCUCACCAAAUUAGGGGAUUUAAUUUGCAGAUAUCUAAGGAGUGCUUUGAAAUGAAAGAUGAACUAAAAUCUGCUCUGAGGCCCGUGAUUUUUCACCAGUGAAGGACUCUCUUGCUGCUGGACAUACAUGAAAAGCAUCAUCUGAUCUGAAACGCAAGUCCCUGCAAGACAGAGGAGAGACUUUAUAAACAUUUUAUACCAUUCUAUGAAAUCAAUUCGAUUCAGGGCUAGAAUUCAAGAAGUAAUCCAUGGGCAAGUAUAUCUGAUGGUAAACCCAAACGAUUAUAUUGUUAACCUCUUGUACUUUUUUUAAUUUUUUAUUAUUUGAUAUUAUUAUCACAAAAGUCGCUGGAACAGGAUCCAUGAGCUGCUUCUUCACUGCUUAGUGUUUUCAGAAGCUGAUGGAUUAUUAAGCUCCAAUUGAAUACUUGAUUUCCAAUGAUUCCAUUAAUUUUUCUGGUUUGUGGUAGGAUUUGAUUUACUUAUUUUGUACUUUAACACACCAAUAAAAAAUAGAUACUAAGAAA
ensembl:lncRNA LINC00683 long intergenic non-protein coding RNA 683